AGUCGACUCCUACGGGGAGGCAGCAGUGGGGAAUAUUGCACAAUGGGGGAAACCCUGAUGCAGCCAUGCCGCGUGUGUGAAGAAGGCCUUCGGGUUGUAAAGCACUUUCAGUAGGGAGGAAGGUAGUGUAGUUAACACCUGCACUAUUUGACGUUACCUACAGAAGAAGCACCGGCUAACUCCGUGCCAGCAGCCGCGGUAAUACGGAGGGUGCGAGCGUUAAUCGGAAUUACUGGGCGUAAAGCGCAUGCAGGCGGCCUGUUAAGUCAGAUGUGAAAGCCCGGGGCUUAACCUCGGAAUUGCAUUUGAAACUGGCAGGCUAGAGUCUUGUAGAGGGGGGUAGGAAUUUCAGGUGUAGCGGUGAAAUGCGUAGAGAUCUGAAGGAAUACCAGUGGCGAAGGCGGCCCCCUGGACAAAGACUGACGCUCAGAUGCGAAAGCGUGGGGAGCAAACAGGAUUAGAUACCCUGGUAG
rnacentral:rRNA from 1 species